GUGGGUGUAGCUCAGUUGGUAGAGCACCGGGUUGUGGCCCCGGUUGCCGAGGGUUCAAGUCCCUUCACUCACCCCA
rnacentral:tRNA from 2 species